ensembl:lncRNA
GUUUCCAUAUGUUUUCCCUCACAAAUAUCAAGACUGACUUAAAAUAAAUCCUAACAUCAGCAGCCUUUGAGCCUCUCACAGUAAACACAGUUCAUAUGUCUCCGGAGUGUUACUUACUUGGAGCUGGGUGGAAGUCAGCUGCCUCCUUGGUGGCAUUGUAUAUAGUGAAGGUGAGUGGGCAGAGCUGUGGUGGUUUUUAACAGAACAGACCCACCUAGUGUAGGACUUUCCUAACAAGCAUUUCAUGACCCUUUGCAAUGAACAGAGUUCCCAAGAACCAGACAGCCUGAUGAGGCUACCCAGAAUCUUAGAAUAUAUAACAGUUUUAGUGCUCAUUUUCAGCAACCCAGUCCUUCUUUCCAAUGAAACAUUGCCCAGAUGUCCACUCUGUGAAGCAGAAAGAAGUGGCUGAGUAGCGCCCAGGCACCACAGUCAAGGGAUUGAACUCAGGACCUUGUGCUUGCAUGGCAUGUACCGGAACCACUGAGCUAAAUCCCUGGCCCUCGGCAUCUGAGUUUUGACAGAGAAGCCAAAAAUAUAUGCUGGAAGACAGAUAGCCUCUUUAUUUAACAAAUGAUGCUGGGAAAACUAGGUAUCCACAUGCCGAAGAUUGAAUCUAGACCCAUAUAUCUCACAAUCUACUAAAUGAAAAUCAAAAUGGAUCAAAUAUGCUCCUGGGAUCAAGGCAAUGCCAAACCAAUCAGUCGACCGAUUUAGUAAUCACAUACCCUUAAUCCCAACAUCACACACCCUAGAUCCAGCCAUCUCUGAAAAAGCCCCAUCUAAGACCGCAUGAGGUGUUGGGGCUACAUCUAGACACAAGCCAAAACAGCAUAUGAAAAGAGUUAAGAUGUUUUAUGUAUGCAUGCUGACUCCCUGUGUUGAAUAUAACCAUUGUAUACUGCAUAUAUGUACUACUAGUAAAGUUUAAAAAUCAGUAUGUAUGAAUCCUCAAAUGAAACAU